rnacentral:rRNA from 1 species
UGGAGCGAUUAAGGAUAGUACCGUAAGGGAAUGAUGAAAGACAUCUUAACAGUAUUAAACAGCAAAGAUUACCCCUUCUACCUUUUGCAUAAUGAACUAGCCAGAAACAACUUAACAAAGAGAACUUAAGCUAAGCUCCCCGAAACCAGACGAGCUACCCAUAAACAAUCUAAAAGGAUCAACUCAUCUAUGUAGCAAAAUAGUGAGAAGAUUUGUGGGUAGAGGUGAAAAGCCUAACGAGCCUGGUGAUAGCUGGUUACCCACAAACAGAAUUUUAGUUCAACUUUAAAUUUACCUAAAAAAAAUAAAAUUUUAAUGUAAAUUUAAAAUAUAGUCUAAGAAGGUACAGCUUCUUAGAAUCAGGAUACAACCUUUAUUAGAGAGUAUAUACUAAUACCACCAUAGUUGGCUUAAAAGCAGCCACCAAUUGAGAAAGCGUUCCAGCUCAACAAACAAUAUAACUUAAUCCCAACCAUACUAUAUCAACUCCUAAUUAUACCCCCUGGGUCAUUCUAUUUAAGUAUAGAAGCAAUAAUGCUAGUAUGAGUAACAAGAAUCAUUUUCUCCCCGCAUAAGCUUAUAUCAGGAACGAUUUAGACCACA